UACGUAGGGGGCAAGCGUUGUCCGGAUUUAUUGGGCGUAAAGAGCGUGUAGGCGGCCAUGUAGGUCCGUUGUGAAAACUCGAGGCUCAACCUCGUGGAAGUUGGUAAUACUGUCGAGCUUGAGUGCAGGAGAGGUUAAUGGAACUUUAUGUGGAGCGGUAAAAUGCGUAGAUAUAUGAAAUAACACCAAUAUAGCGAAGGCAGUUAACUAUUCUGUUACUGACAUUGAGGCAUGAAAGCGUGGGGAGCAAAACGG
rnacentral:rRNA from 1 species